rnacentral:rRNA from 1 species
UAGUUAUGUUGGAGACGCGGCAGACGGCUCAGUAACACGUAGUCAAUCUACCCUUGGGACAGAGAUAACCCCUGGGAAACUGAGGCUAAUACCUGAUAUGUGAACGAUCCUGGAAUGGUCUUUCGCAGAAAAGGCAUCAGAUACAUGCUUCUGAUGUUGCCCAAGGAUGGGACUGCGGCCGAUCAGGUAGUUGGUAAGGUAACGGCUUACCAAGCCUAUAACCGGUACGGGCCCUGAGAGGGGGAGCCCGGAGAUGGGAACUGAGAUAAGGUCCUAGGCCCUACGGGGCGCAGCAGGCGCGAAAACUUCGCAAUGCGCGAAAGCGUGACGAGGUUAUCCCGAGUGCUGUCCGAAAAGGAUGGCUUUUCAUCGAUGUAAAUAGUCGGUGGAAUAAGGGGGGGGCAAGACUGGUGUCAGCCGCCGCGGUAAUACCAGCCCCCCGAGUGGUGGGGAUGAUUAUUUGGCCUAAAGCGUUCGUAGCCGGCUCAGUAAGUCCUCCGUUAAAUCUGACGACUUAAUCGUCAGGCUGCGGGAGAUACUGCUGGGCUAGGAGGCGGAAGAGGUCGACGGUAUUCCAGGGGUAGGGGUGGAAUCCUAUAAUCCUUGGAAGACCACCAGUGGCGAAGGCGGUCGACCAGAACGCGCUCGACGGUGAGGGACGAAAGCUGGGGGAGCGAACCGGAUUAGAUACCCGGGUAGUCCCAGC